GAAGGAAGCAUGGUCUCUGCUCGACACUAAACUCUUGUGCCUGGUCCCGGAGGAGCAACAUAUGAUUUCUCCUCCUUGACAAUCUCAUGCUCUUGGUUUUGCCUGCGCUACAUAUCGGUUGGUUUUGUGUCACCAACUCUCUCUUUAUACUUUCUAAUCUGUGCUGUCUGUUGGAUUUAAAAUCCAUGGAAACCAGGGCCCAUGGUAAGCUCUGUCUGUCUUCUUGGUCUUCUAAGCAAAGGUUUGUAUAGAGGUUUCUUUGGGAGAUGUUCAGUGGUGGGCAGCUAACCUUACAGUGGCCAGCACACUAUGAGAAUGGCUCAAAGUGUUUUCAGCCCCAAGUCCACAAAUAUUUGGAGGGAAACAAAGAGCUGAGUUCUGUGUCUCUCUCCUGAAGCACCUGAGUCAUUUGGGCAAGGUGUUUCUGCCUCCUGUCCUUUCCCCAUCUGUCUGCCGAGCCCUGCUGUGGUGUCCUUAGGGACAGAAGGAAGCCUGACUUGUUUGGACACUGCCAUUCCUGAAGCCCGGGAGGCUUGUCCUGCUUGCCUCUGCGUGGGAAUGUUCUUUUCCCCAGGCUGUCUACUCCGAUACCAGCUUCUCUGUGUGUUAGGUGCCUCAGGCCUGGGUUGGCCCAGCUCCGUGGCUAUCCAGUGCCCGGUGCUAGAAGGCUUCCCUCUGAGGCCUGCUGUGCUGCUGAUGGGCACUUGAAAGGUAAGGCCUGGAGCUCCUGCCCCUCGCCCCUGCCCCUCAUCCUAAUGGGCAAAGCUUCCAACCCAGGCUGGCCAAACAGUCCAUUGUGUUUUCUGCAUCAGACCCUUAAUCCUGCCUUCCUCUCUCAGCAGUAACUCAUUAGCUUUCCCCCCUCCGUUCUUUCCCCCUUUGAUGAGAACAAAGCUGGCUCCUCCCUGCGCUCAAUCUUCCUUUUCCUUCCCAGGGAAUAGCCCUGAGCCAGUCCAUCCCCUUAGCCAGAAGUCCCUGGAAUGGUGUCACCAACAGAAGGGGCAUCUCCUCCUUGACCGCUUGGCCUCUGUGCUGCGCCCCGCCCCGCCCAGGAUCCCACUGCAGGUGUGCCUGGGCCUGUUGGGGGUGGGGCGUUGCCUUGUGUACCGAAAGCCCCCCACUCAGCAGCCGCAGCACCCAGCUCUUUAAAGGGAAGAACAGUCGCACAUACCACAUGUUAAUGCCGAUGGAAUUUUACUCUUACUAAAGCCCUUUGAAGUCCCUCGUCCUGACCCCGCCCCUCUUGCCCUCAGCUCUUAGAUGUGGUGGGCUCUGUCAUCAGGGUUGCUGGAGUCAAAGUUGCAGGAAAACCAUCUGACUUUCUCUAAUACAACUCUUUGAUGUUGAGUGAAACAAAAAUCUAUUUCUACCCAAUGCUGUAGACUUCUGAGAGGAACUCUGGAAGGCAGCCCCUGUAGCAUGGUUAGAAUUUCAAAUUGAUUUCCUCUUCUCUUUUAAACCUCAACUGUACUGUAUUUGGGGUGACUAGGCACUGGAGUCAUCAGGCCAGCUCUGACGGAGCACCUACUGUGUGCCAGGUCCCUCCUACUUCACCCAGGAACCAGGUCGUCUAGACUUCCCUGCUUUUUCCCAUUGCAUAUGUCUGAGAGGAAGGUUAGCCAUGCGCCGCAGAUGUCUGAGGUAGGACCAAGCCAGCUUGAUUGCACUGUUUCUCUUCCCAUUUCAAUUUUCCACCUCGCGGUCACUGUCGUUUCUGGAAACACUGCCCGGUGUCUAAGAGUUGAUGCAAUCCUUGGUAAGGAAGAAUGGCAUCCAAGAUGGUUAAUAUUGUUAACUAGGAGACCAACCUAAGGUUAAUUGAAGUGAGAAUGCCCACCCUAAAAGUGGGCAGCACCAUUUCCGGGCUGGAAGUUUCAGACGGAAUAAAAAGUUGGGGGUGGGGAGGUAAGAGCCCAAGCUUCACAAGCCAGGCAACCUGAGCACCACUCCCAGAAGACGUGUAAAAGCCAGAGAGGGCGGAGGGUCCGGAAGCUUGGGGCCCACUAGCCUUAUGCAGCAUAGCAGAAGCAAAUCGUAGAUGGAGAUCUCUCCCCCCCCACCCCUUUCACUCACACACACACACACACACACACACACACACAGAGUAGUACCGAGUUGUCCUCUGACUGCUACAUAUGUGCCUACGCAUACAUACACAUGCAUGGUAGUAAUAAAACUAGAAUACUUUAAAUGGGGAAAAAGCGAGCUGAGCCUCCGUCUCUCUCAGCUGCCUGAUGCUCUCUCUACCAGUGGGAUUUCCCUGCCAUGGUGGACCAGACUCUUGAACUCUGAGCCAAAGAUCAACUUUUCCUUCCUUAAGCUACUUUUAUUAGGUAUUCCAUAGGCAGGAUGAGCCUGUGACACCGAGGUAGAAACUGGCAAGGCAUAGCCAAAAUAGGGGCCACUGGAAAGAGGAGGGCCACUGGAAGGAGGGCCUUGAAGGAUGUUGGGAAGGGACUAGAAGGAAAAGACAACUUGAGCAGGUGGUGAAGGAGGACCCUAGGGGACGGGGAGGAGUGAGUGGGGUACACUCAUGUUGCAGGGCGCCUCCAGUUUAGAAAAGCUGGAAAAGCAGGUGUAGGUGGAGUCAGGACAGAUCAUACUGUAUUUUCUCAAAAUGACUUGGUUUUUAUGAUUUAAGAGUUAUUUAUAUUGACUUUAGUAAAAGAAAGAGUCGAAGUCCACUGCAUCCAAAGGCUUUCUUGUUCUUGAACGCCACCAUUGGAAUCCAUCUUGUUUUCUUCAUCCUGCAGAAUAAAUGUUCACACAUUUUUCUUGUAGUUCUUUAUGUAUGGAAAAUUGACGAGGGCUAACCACUUUUGGAUUUGAGUAUUUUUUUUUUAAAAUCAUUGUGGGUAAAGCAAUGUAUUUUGCUACCACUCAUCAAAAAGAAAGUGUCUCUAAGCAGGAGCCCACAUUGUACGUACACACACACACACACACACACACACACACUGAUCAGAUGAUCUAAGGCACAGUGUGGCACACUCAGGAUCAAGCAGUGACUGUCUUAUAAAACUGAAUGGCUGCCUGGCUUCCAUGGAUUCGCUUCUAACAGUUAGAAUAGGCCUUAACGUUGGAGGUCUGCUAAGACAAGAAUUGGAGUCUGAAAGGAGAUGCACCGUACAGUCCUUUUGGUUUGUGUAUGCCACAUCAAGCCAGCUGCCUGGGGGACAAAACACAACAGGUCCGAGGCUCUUUUCAGUCACCUCAGCAGAAGUGUUGCUAACGAGAGAAUUAUCUGCAAUUAACGUGGCAGGCCAUUGGCUCCUUCUCAGUUACUUUUGGAUUUUUGCUGUUAUUCCUUCCCAGUUUUUUUUUUUAAGUAAAUUUGAUAAAUAUAUAUUAAAGGUUGAAACCUAACCUUUCCAUGUAUGUAAGUGUGUAUUGUAAAAUAAUGCUCACAAUCAGGCUAAUUAAUGUUUCCCCCUCCCGUGUGUGUGUGUGUGUGUGUGUGUGUGUGUGUGUGUGUGUGUGUGUGUGUGUAAAGCUUAAGGCCUACACACACUUAACAGACUUAAGUUUAUAGAUGUUAUUAGCUGUACUCACCUUUUUGCAUGUGAGAUCUUAAAUCUCUCAUCAUAAUUCCAAGUUUGCAUCCUGCAACUGUUUUCUCCCACCUGCUCUGGUGUCCUUUCCAAACAGUCGCUGCCCUGGUCCUCGCUUCUGGACUUUUCAGCCACGGUGUCCUAAAUCUUUAGUGGGUUUUUAUUUGAUCUGAUAAUCUCCAUUUUAUUUUGUUCCGAAUAGAAAUUUGUUCUUAAAAGGAAACAGAUUAGUGUUUCAACUGUGGAUAGGAGUGGGUGCUGUGUAUCUUUUGGGAGGUGCAGCUCCUACGGUUUGUGCUUAUUUCUGUUUCUUGCAAAGGAAAACCCAUGCUAAGAUUUUUCGUCCCACAUCACAGAAUUGCUGGAGUUGACAGGACUUUUCCGUGACCCAGUGUAGAGCUCCCCAAAGGGCUUGGUAGGACCACCUGCAGUAGACAUUGGGAUGCCCCUUUUGAUUUUAUGUGACUCUUUUCAUGGUCAAAAAUUGGGGGGAGUGCAACUCACGGUGUUUCUUUGUAGUACUAGAGAGUUCUCUACUUUACGAAACUGAUACUUUAAAAAGUGAUGGUACCCUAGUUAUUAGCAUAGUCUAAGGGAUACCAGUUUGGAAGAAAACAAAUACCUAAAAUAGCGUGUCUUAAGUAAUUUGUCACUCUGUGGUGGCGGUGAGAUCAGUUUAGUGCCUGGGACUCUCUCUCUUUCCGAGAAAUAAUGGAGUCGGCAGCAGCAGAUGUUGAGAGCUCGCUCACCGUAGGGCAGGGUUUUGUGCACCUUGAGUUUCAGUUAUGUCUGUGUGCUUGUGUGAAGUCAGUCAGAACGAAACAUCUAUUUCUUACUCCAGAAGACAGCCAAAAGUUUCUGGAGAACACCAGUCUAAUUCACUUCCUCUUUACAUGGAAAAACACUUGAGUCUCCUGUGGGGGUUAUGAUCACUUGCAGAGGUCGACCAGAGAAUCUGAGGCUUUUAUCUUCUCUCUCCCCCUUCAUUCAGCACACUGGCUAAGUACACUUAACACCUUGUUAAACGACAUCAGUGCUGGUGCAAACAACCCAGAGGCCAUCCGUAGGUGGUCAGGCAGAAUGUGCACGGGGAAGCACUAGUCAGCCUUAAAAAGGACGUGCCGCAACGUGGAUGAGCCGUGGAGACACUGUGCUAAACAGCCUAAGGAAGCCCGUCACAGAAAUCUCCUCUGUAAUUUUCUGUUUGGGAUGAUGCUCUGGAGACAGAUAGGGGUAGAGUUGAUUACACAAUAGGAAUGUCCCAACCGUCACCUAGCUGCACUUAAAAAAAAAAAAGUUCAGAUGGCAGCUUCAUGUUAUGUAUGUUUUAGCACCCUCCCUGGAAAAGGCACAAAGAUUUUGUUUUGCGUUUUAGCACCCAUCCCUUCCUUUGGUUCCACCCCUUUAGGGGUGCAGGUCCAGACAAGAGGAUGCAAACAAGACAGGUUCCUUCCUCCUAGGGACCCCCAGAGCGCAGCAUCCAGGGGCAGCCUUAAGGCUGGAAUUCUCUGCCCACAUCUCCACAGCUUGUCAGGCUGAGCCAUGGUCUCAUCUGCACUAGCGGUCAUGAUUGCAACCGUUUGUGUAGCGGUUCUCUUAGUUUCUCCAUCCUUUGGGUGAUGUUUUGCCCUAACCAGUAGACAAAUGGCCGUAAUCUCCGUUUAUUCUUCCUUUUAUAAGCUCUGCAGGCACUCUUGCAAAUAGCAGCUGAGAUGGCAGGUUCCUGGGCCUGAGUCACUUAGAGUGAUUUCUCUGCAGAUCCAUCUCUGCUUUUGCCCUACUUUGAGAUUGAGAAUCAAAAUAACUGGAUGAACAGAAGUAGGCAGGGGCAACAGGCUCCUGGAAGUUGGAUGUGUGUCUUUUCUCUGAGCCGAGUAACAUGUUUGAGACUUUAAUACAAAGCAGUUUCUGUGUGCAUAAAGUUACCACAGCUUGGAGUCACCUGCCGGCCUUGAGGAUUUUGGAUACUUUCUUACUGCAAGCACUUCUUUGCUUUUGACCCCCCUCCCCCUCUACCAACCAGGUCUGUGUUUCCAGCAACCCUGCCAGAACCUCCGUAGCCCCCAGAUCUUCCUCAAUACAAAGCGCCCCCUUUGGCUCUGCCAGUGGUUACUGGGAGCUAAGGAGCUUCAGACAUCAUUUGUUACAUUGAGACUGCCGUGAUAAUGACUUUGGAACUCCUAGCUUGCCUGUGGGGGUCUUGGGUCGACUCUCGUCUUUCCUACGUUAGCUCUGCUGGCAUUCAGAACUGGAGAUUCUUUAGACAUUUAGAAGCAUACAUAAUCUCCACCCGUGAGAUACCAGUUACACUCUCCAAGAUCAAAAAGAGGAGUGGGUGGUGGCUGGUGUGCCCAGGAUGCCAGAGUAACACUGGUGGAGGACCACCUGGCAAACCCCACAGUUCUUCUGAGGUGUGUAUAUUGAGCACCCUAUUAGGUUUUCUAUUUAGGAAAAAAAAAGGAAAGGCCCUGGGGUUUUAUCCUCAGUUUAAUUUGUUUAAUCCCCAUUACAUUAAUACAGAACUCAGCUCUUUAGAGGGCAUAUGAAGUCUGGUUAGCUGGGGAAGUCUGCCUCCCACCAACAGUUCCUUUACCAGUGCUGAGCCUGCUCUGUGUAUGGCGAAAGGCGAUGUUCAGUCCUGCCACAGUGAUGUGGUUUCUGGUGUGGUCUCUCUGCUGGAGGAUUACCUUUUUCUCUUUUUCUUCUUUUCUCUUAUUUCUCUCCUCCCUCCCCUCCCCCUCUUUCUGGGUGUCUCUGUCUCUCUGUCUCUGGCCCCCCCCCCACUCCCCCUCCCCCCACCCCCGGCCGUUUCUCUGACAGUGUUUCUCUGUGUAGCUUUGGUUGUCCUGGAACUUGCUCUGUAGACCAGGAUGGCCUCCAACUUACAGAGAUCCACCUGCUUCAGCCUCCCAAGUGCUGGGAUUAAAGGUGUGCGCCACCACCACCCGGCGCAUCUCCUUCUCUUCUGUUUUGCUGCUUCUCCUAUAAGGCAUGGUAAGGUCUUGUGGGGUUACCAACUGGGCAGUCUCCGUGAGCUUGUGUAGAUGAAGUCUGGAGUAGGGGUGCCCUGUGGUUCCUUCCUUCUCUUCCUGCCAGAUCCAGUCUCACGCUAUUUAUUCCCAUGCCCCCUUGUUUUUCUCUCCAUAUCUAUUUUGGUUGGUUGGUUGGUUGGUUGUUUUUUUGUUUUUUGUUUUUGUUUUUGUUUUUGUUUUUGUUUUUUUUUUUUUGAGACAGGGUUUCUCUGUGUACCUUGGCUGUCCUGGAACUCACUCUGUAGACCAGACUGGCCUGAAACUCAGAAGUUCACCUGUCUCUGCCUUCUCUACAUAUCUGAAUAGAGAAUGAUGCUUGCCUGUCUUCUUAAGUGGCUGGCAGUGCUGUGGCCAGACUCUCCCAUGGUGCUUACAUAUUGGGAUGUAGUAUCAGUCACUUGAUAUUUGAGAAUUCCUUGUGGUGUGGACUUCUUCCACAGUCUUCCAUGCUGUGCUGGCAGCUGUGUUUCUGUGUGUAUCCGUCCUAUAUUUCUGGAGUUCCAGUGAGCCACUCUCUGUGGGGGUCCCUUGGAUAUAUGAUAACUAAACCAGGUUUUCUAUUGAUAAUCAAAGUGCUGACCCCAUGUAGGAGGAUGGAUGUAUAAAUCUCCGUCAGCUUAACAAAGAAUUAGGUUUAGCUUUUCUGUCUCUUUGGAGUUCCUCCAAGUACUAAGGGUCUACAGGGCAGUGGUGACUUUUUGUUUGUUUGUUUGUUUUGUUUUUCGAGACAGGGUUUCUCUGUGUAGCCCUGGCUGUCCUGGAACUCACUCUGUAGACCAGGCUGGCCUCGAACUCAGAAAUCCACCUGCCUCUGCCUCCCGAGUGCUGGGAUUAAAGGCGUGCACCACCCUGCCCAGCUAGUGGUGGCAUUGUUGAAGUCACUAGCCAGUGUUCUGGAAGAACCCUGCUGGGGAUCUGAAAGCUAGGUGUUUUAUGUUAAUGCUGGGUAAACUCAGGUCUCUUCAUCUUCACGGAACUCAGUAUCUUGGCUUAUAAACCCACGUGGCUGGGUGGUGUCAUCUCUGUGGUCCUUUCUGACACUGAAUGCACUGCUGACAGCUGCAAACUCAUGGUCUGCCAGGCUUGUGAAGAAGGUAUAUCACACACUUAAAAGCAUGGCUUCCUUGCUCACUAAGAGGACUCUGGGCAACAGGAAGCCUAGCAACUCUUGGAGCGGUAGAUCCUUUCAGGAGGUAAAGCAUGAGUUAGAGGAAGUAAGCCAAAUGUCUCAUCCAAGCCCCUCUCUAGAGGUAUUAUUCCUGACAGACAGCUCGGACAACACCGUCUAGAGUUGAGUCAAAGUUACACAUUGCAUCUGCUCCACAAGCCGUACGUAAGGGUGUAGGAUAGUGUAAAUGUCGACUCCAUGCCUCUCAUUUCAUCGUUCCAGGACUGGGGACCUCACAGAUGUCAGCAGCUAAGCUACUCAACAAGUUACUCAACAAGGGAGGACAGUCUCUAGUUGUUAAGCGUGUCCGUCAUGUUUUAAAUGAUAUUCAGGAUGCCCCCUUGCUCUUCCCUGUGACAACUGAGCAUUUGUAUUGAGAUUUCAGUAGUUUUGUAGGCAGUCUCGCCUGCAAGACUACAUCCUGAGAACUCGCCGCAUGUCAGCUUCACUUCUUGGUCCCCCAGGAUGCUUCCUUGGUACACGAAGACCUUAUUGUGAUCCUGUAUAUACAUGGGCUGUUCGUUGCUCUUCCAAGGGUGUAAUUGUAGAGCCAGCGAUUGCACUCAGCCACCUGGAAGGACCCCCACGGCUCUGGUCAGACCGCCCCCACACAUGCGUCUGCAUGUGUACUGGGUACACAGGAAAUGCUAUAGAAGGAGUGUCAGAAGGUGGAAGCGCUCGAUGAGUGGGCGUUGAGCGAACCCAGUGCAAGAGGAUGAGUAUUUUAUGGUUCUCUGCUCUCCCUACUUGGUGCCCUUUACUGUGGGUUAGUAGAUGAGAUGGAGUGUGUUCUGGCUGAUACAUGGUCACUGGUUAUCUUCAGAGACAGAGCUUUUUGUGGUUUUACAGCUCUGGCUUUUUUUUUUUUUUUAAGCAGUGUUUACUAUUUCUGGCCAUUAUGUACACUAAUAUAAAAUUUUAAUUAGAGUCUUUCUUUUCAAUUAAUUAUUAUAGCCUUGUUUGUUUGCUUUCUCAACAGAGCUUACAUUAUGGGAACAAGCGAGAUCAAUUUUCUAUCACAGAAUUCAUUACUUCUGACUAUAGUCCAGCACGAUGCUGAGUGUGUAGCUCACUCUGGUGACUUCCCCAGCAGCUGGAGGAUGGUGGGGUGUGACAAGGAUGAGGAAUCAGGGGCCUUAGUGGGAGGAUGGUUUGGGUCUGAGAAGAAUCCCGAUGACUGUCCUUCUCAGGUCAGUGUAUGAAUGAAGUCAAAAUUCUGUGUGUUCCCAGACAUUGAAAACCCUUGUGUCUUUUUUAUUCCUUUGUUUGUUUGUUUAGUACUAUCCAGACUGUUGAAAUUGGUGUGUGCUAAGAAAGAUUUUACCCUUGUUAGGCUGUUUUCUCUGGCAACAUCUAUUAAAGAAGGUACAUGCUCUUUCUGAACACAGGGGUCUGGCAUUGUGCUCACUGCCAGGGUCCACACUGUGUGCCUGGUAGAUGUUAAAUACAUAAACAUGAGAAGACGUGACAUAAAUAGCAAAUGUUUCUCUGCAUCAUUGAUUUUAAAAGUAUUUUCUGGAUUAAAGAUGGUCUGUGCCUUUGUCUGCAGUAACUUUCUCUGAGUAAUGUCUUAGGUAGUGUUGGCUUCAGUGCUGUAUAUUAUACAGCAAGUGGACUUGGUUAUCAAAAGGUGCAGAUCCAGCCCAGCACAGUCCUCAUGACUCAAGGGCAGCCUGUGGACUUGGAGUCUCUCUCUCUCUCUCUCUCUCUCUCUCUCUCUCACACACACACACACACACACCUGGUGCAGAGCCAAGUGCCACUGUCACUAGCCUUAUGAUGUUGGGGCAUAGCAUCACCUGUCUUGUUGUAUAUCACCAAUCUGUCAUACAAAGCCAGGAAUGGUUGCCGCCCAGUGAGGUCCAUUUACAAGUGUGUUAUGUUCUAGUGUGGCCUUGCGCAGUAACACAUGCACACAGAAGAUGCACUUGGAGAUGUUUUCUAUCAAAUGUGCCUAGUGUGGUUCUCUUGAUGUUCCCCUGCACACUGACUGUUGAUAAAUAUCUCAACAUCAUAUGUAGUGUUUUUUUCUGAAUGUGAAAUUAGAAGUGUUGUCCCACCCUCGAUAAUUUUUGGUCAUUGAACUAAUGUUGCCAGUGCUGGCCAGAGCUAGCAGCUUGAACGUGUAUGUAAUUAUUUUGAAAGUGGCUCUUCAUUCUCUCUCUCUCUCUCUCUCUCUCUCUCUCUCUCUCUCUCUUUUUUAGAUUUAUUUAUUAUAGAUAAGUACACUGUAGCUGACUUCAGACACACCAGGAGAGGGUGUCAGAUCUCAUUACGGGUGGUUAUGAGCCACCCUGUGGUUGUUAGGAUUUAAACUCAGGACCAUCGUUCGGAAGAGCAGUCAGUGCUCUUACCCAUUGAGCCAUCUCACCAGCCCGUGGCACUUCAUUCUUAAAUGGCUCAGACCCCCUAUGAUAGUGAUUUACUUCCACAUCUUACCUCUGUGGUGAGGGAUAAAGGAGCUUGGUAUGCUAUGUCUGAGGAAUUAUCAAGGACAGUUUAGAAAACUGAGGUGCAAAGCCCCUUCUGGAACAUUCCAAGCCCCUACAAUAAGCUUUUCCAGCAGGCCCAGGUCAUAGUGUUAGUGGCAUGUGGAGCUGGAACAUGACCACGGGCAGCUUGGUCAGCGUUCGCCUCCUGUGUCUCUGUGUUUGCCUGUCUUGCUCUGUCUCUGCCCUCUAAUGUUCUGGACCUUGUGAGUGACUGCUGUACUGCUGUGUGUCUGCCCCUUCUUUAGGUCUUGGCUUAGAUUCAACUUCUCACAAAUGCCUUCCUUGGUUGCCCCAUCUGGAAGAGAACCUCUUGCCCUCUCUCUUUUCUUCCCCUCUUGACAUUUCUCUCUUGUUUUUGUUACUACACACAUCUUACGUAUUUCCUUCCUGUAAGUUCCUUCACUGCACAGGCAGUGACUUGUUCAGGGCUGUGUUCUUGGGUUUGUCCUUUCCUGCUGGAUCCAGGGUUUAGAAAGGUACCUGGUCCAUUGUACCACAAUGUGUAGCUAUUUUUGAAUGAAUGAGUGAGUGAAUUACUGUGCUCCCCGUGAGCGCUCCCAUUGAUGAUCCUUUCGAAGCAUAUGUCUGCCCCAAACAGUUGCACGCAGCAGCUUCAUCCCUGUUUUUGUGAAUCCUGACUACCCUACACUCCCCUUCUUAGUCUCCAGAGCCUUGCGGGACGCUCUUUAUUUUUUGACAGUUCUGCCAUAUUGAUCUCUUUUCUGUUCGCUGUAUGCAUGAGCACCUGUCCUGGCUCUUAAAUUUAUGGACACCUCUCCUUAGUAGAGGUUAACUUGAGGACAGAAACCUUGUCUCUCUUCUGCCCAUCCCACCUCCUCUUCCGGCUUGGCACCUAGCAAAGAAGAGGCACUCACACCUUACUGCCAGAUGAAUGAAGCCGGGUAAUGCUAUGGGCAGGCCGACUGAGUGUGCUGGAAGUGAGUCUCACCCUGGAAUUAAGUGUUUCUUUGGCACUGUGAGAUCUUAGUGCUCAAGCUGUGAGAUUUAAAGGCAAAAUGCUUCCUGCUAAUUAUUAACAGUUGCCCCGUAAGAACAAAGUCAUUAUGGGGCCCUGAACCCUGGCAUUGUGCCCCCUCCCAGCAGCAAACAAUGCCAUGGAGUGGGAGGUUAGCAAAAGCCACUACAGGCUUGGUACCCGCCAGACCUCAGAUUACCCAGAGAGGAUUGCAGUGUCGGGGCCACAAGAGUAGGGAGUGGAUAAAAGGAUUUGGAAUGAGAUUAUAACACCUAAAAGAUCCUUGCUUUUUUUUUUCAAGAAAUAAUUUAGUGGGUUUUGUCCAGGCAGCGAGACAAUCCAGUUGAGGACCUGGAGUGUAGAUCAAUGUCCUGGGGCUCUUCAGAUACUUAGAAAUAAGUUGAUCUGUAAUUGUUGCUUCUUGUGGGGGAAAAGAAGAAGAAAGACUGGAAUUGAGAGAAGGGAGCUCCUGAGUGGGCUCAGAUCUAUGAGGAUAACACAACUAAGAAAGGCCAUCAUGGUAGGCAAGGAUCGGGCAAUCCACAGUGGGAGGGUGUAGCAGGUUUCCUGCAGAAACAAGGAAUGGGCAUUACCUUUUAUUAGUGACUUCUGCUAGCUGUUGUCACCUCCUAUAGGCUCCCUGGCUUCAGCAGCUGGGAUACAAGCAUUCAAAAUAUGAGCCUUUGAAGGACAUUUCAGGUUCAAGCUAUAACACAAGGGGACCCAGAUUUUCAGUGUUCUCUCUCUCUCUCUCUCUCUCUCUCUCUCUCUCUCUCUCUCUCUCUCUCUCGACAGGGUUUCUCUGUAUAGCUCUGGUUGUCUGAAACUCACUUUGUAGACCAGGCUGGCCUCGAACUCAGAAAUCCACCUGCCUCUGCCUCCCGAGUGCUGGGAUUAAAGGCGUGCGCCACCACGCCAGGCAUGAAGAAAACUUUCAAGACCCCCAUUCCAUGAAAUGAAGCCUUGGACAGCAGGUACACCUUGUUCCAAACUUCACUACCAAAUCUUUCCUUUGACCUUCUGUCACUGACAGUCCACCUGAAGCCAUGGCUUUGCACUGAAUGAGUGCGUGAGAGCUGGUGGCGGUGACUUAGCUGGAAUGCUCACUUCGGUGUAAAUGCUCACUUUAUGAGGAUGUAACAAUGGUCCUACCCUUGGGAGGCCUCUAGGAGUGAUUCCAUUUUCAGUAUGUUUCUGAUUAGAGACUCUGUCUUGUCCCUUUCUCUUAAAAACCAGGACUGGGAAGAUGAGUCAGAGUCCCUUGCUAUGCAAGUGUGAGAGCCUGGGUUUGAAUCCCCAGCACCCAGAUAAAAAGCCAGUUGUGGCUUUGUGUCCCUACCCUAGCAUUGUGUGUGGUGGUGGUGAUGGUGCACACAGGGGGUAGGGGUGGGAUAGAGACAGGAGGAUUGCUGGGACCUUCUGGUUCCCUGCCUAGCUCUGGAUUGUCCAGGAUAGAAUAGGUGGAGCAUCCCCUUCUGGUCUUGGCUCACACAUGUGUACACAUACAUCACACAUAAACACGAAAGAAAAAAGAAAAAAAAACUGUGUAAAAAUGAAAAAUGGAGCGACCUGGACCUUCCUCUUAUCCCUUGCCUGAAAUGUUUUUUAUUUGAAGAUGGAGCUGGUUGAGGUUGAGUUAAUUAAAGCUUUAAUUGUGUUUGAUUCUGGAGCAGACCUAAUGUUGACUUACCCGAAUAAUGAAAUGCAGAUUGGCAUCUUCCUGGGGACACCCUUCCUGGGUUGGUCGGUAAGGAACUGAUAGCAACCUUAAAACCUGCUGGCUCUGCUCUGAGGCAUCUUUGUAUGUAUUUUUGACAAUCUGUUUGGAUAUGGGAAAAGUGUGAAUUGUCAUCCGACUGUGACUGAGAACUGCUGUCAGUGGCCGACUUGAGUGCUUGUGUGUUGGACAGAAGAUGUCAACUUACAAGACAAGAUUUAGCUACUCUUCAACCUUCUGAACAGGGUUAGUGUCACAGCCUGAGGCUGCCUGCCUUAGAGCUGGCCUUGCAGGAUUGGCCCUGGGGCUGGUGUCUGCAAACAUGGUAUUUGGAGAGGGUUUCCCCAUCUUUCCAAAACACUAAAGAGAGGCUCUCGGUACUCACACUGCUGUAUAAACUGUGUGCUUGAUAGAAGCUGUCUGGAAUUUUGGUGUAUUCUGGUAGAUCGUGCCCAAAUGAGUUGUCUCCAGUAAAACCUGUGAGCUUUCUUUGUGUGUGACAUGACUCUAUGUAGACAGCACAUUCAUUCCAUGUGUUGUCAGGAUUUGUUGCUGAAAGGAGAAAGUUCACCCUGUAUGGCGGAGAGGCUUCUUGGUAGCUGGCACUACAGUUUGGGGUAGACUUGACCGUAUGAGCUUUUACAUUGGCUGGCUUUGGUUUUUGACCUCCUAGUGACUUACUGAACCUAGAAGCCUGGGCUGGGCUACUCCUAAAUUUUCUCCAGCACUAUGGUGUUUCAAGCCUGUGCUGCCUCUUGAGUUUGCUCACCCGCCAAGUCUCUCCUACCUUCCAGUAUCCAGACACACAGGCCUGUUGAUUUUGCACCUGAAGGACCUCUGGAAUCCGGGUUUCCCGUGAUAAUUGUUCGCCUACUGUUCCCCAUCUUGCUGCAGUAGCCUGUUUUUAUUUCUUUCCCUUUUCCUUCCAGUCCAUCUUAAUGCUGUUUUGUCUGAAACUAAGCCACCAUAGAGCAUUGCUAGUGAAAUACCGAGACAGUGUAGUGUGUACUGUGACUACGGUUUGAAUCUCAGCUAUGCUCACUAUCCGCUAAAUUCUAUUACUUUACUGUGCGUUAGUGUCUGAAUAAUGUCCUUCGGUCAGUGUGUGCCUAAUAUCCUUAGAAGAGUGUUUAAUACAUCCUAGGUGCUUCACAUCUCAGUGUCAGCUGAGGUUAUGGUUUUUUUGGUUACCCACCUUGUUGCUGUCCUCUGGACUGUCCUCUGCUCUCUGGCAUUGUGACUGGGCGUGACUCUUUAAUAAUGAAUGAGAAACACAAGGUUGGUUAAGUAUAGUUCACAUAUGCAAUGAACUUAGUGAUUUUUGUUAUGAGGCUCUAAGACACCUUAACUGAUUAACAAUGUAAGAUACGCCUAGGUCAACUAAUGUCAGACUGUAGAGAGGGACCUCUGAGUAAUGUGGAAGAAGAGGUUGACCAGAUGGAUCUGGUGAGUUUCCCAACUCACGCUUGUCGCCAUCUCAGGUUUCUAGAAAGGGGGCAGGGAAAUGUUGGGAUUUGUUGUGCCGCUAAGAAACAAUCAUGGGAGAGAAGUCUGCCCUCGGGAUCCUUAGAUUCCACCCCUGCUGAAGCUUGCCUUUCUCCCAAGUGAUAUUUGAAGGUACUUAAUGCAGUUCGGGCACUUUCAAGAGAACAAUCAUGGUAUAAUGAUUUGUGAACAACUCUCCAGGGUGUCUAGAUUUCCUCCGGUUCCUGGACAUGGAAGGAACUCACAGAGAGGAAAACACAGGUCUGCUGGGGUAGUGGGUGGGGCUGCAGGGAGAACCACUAAGUCUUACAUUCCUUAGUUGAUAGAAAGGGUUAGUCUAGAAUGUCUGUUGUUGGUAGAAGCGACUGUGCUAUUUGCCACAUGCCAAUAGUCUUGUCCAAAGAGUUUUGUUAGUGAUACCUACAGGCUUUUGCUGUUUAAUAUUUAACAUUAGGUAGGUAUCCAUCAAAACCUUCACAUGGGACUGCAUCAUGAGAAUUACUGCCUUGGGAUCAUGGUUUGCUGUGCAUGUUUUUAGGAGCUAGAACACUAUAUUAGUUAUUAUCUGCUGUAUAACAAACACCACAAAUUAAGUAACCUGGCCCUUGUUAGGUGUGCUGGUAGGUUGGCCUGGACUCAACUGGAAUGAUGUAUUGUCAGUUCCUGUGACUUUUGUUUGUGCUCAGUUGUGUAUUUAGGGUUCUUUCGGGGUAGCUGGGGCCUCUUUCUCCAAGGAGUCUAAAAUCUAUUGAUAAAUUACUUCAUGUUUAUUUACAAGAUAGUAUAGGAAUCCCCAGUGGGGAAUAAGUAAGCCUGAAUAUUUAAGGAUAUUCAAUUUCUGUGUUGUAUUUGCUCAUAUGCCAUUGGCUGCAUUAAGUCUUGAGGCUAAGCUAGACUCCACGUUGGUAUAUAUGCACAGGAUGUAGAGGCUUGGUUGAGGUCCAUUGCUGUAGUGAAUUACAAGGAGCUCACGACAGAAACCAAAUCAACACUACAGUUGAAGUCUCCCUCCACUAUUGUCCUCCAGAGUGAAGUUCACAGCCACUGUCUGCCUGGGCCCCUUUAGUACUGCUUCCCUUCUGCCUCAGAGAUUGAUAGGCAUCGUUUGUCUCUAAGGGGCCACUGGAAGAAUGUGCCUGGAUCAACACAAAUCUUGGGCUGACGGUGGAAGUAGAAGAGGAACUGAGUAGAUAGCAAGUAAAGCCCACACAGAGUGUUGUGACAAAAUGACAUCUCAAAUCCCCCGCAGUUGUCUGAGCCCGGGCUGUGUCUUCUUUCCAUUCUUGAAUGUAUCUCAGUUCUCAAAUGCCAACAAGUUCUAGAUCUGCCUGUUGUUUGUUCUUCUGACAGUGAGUGGGCAUUAGUGUGCAGUGCAGUCAAGUACGCAGACAACAGAAUAGUGGCAUACAGAGAGACCCAGGACCCCAGUGCUUCAGCUGGGUCAGCCACCUGUUAACUUUGACCUUCAGCAAAGUGGAUGGAUUAGAUAACAUCUGGUUUUAUCUGACUUGCAGUGAUUUAAUGUUCUGUAUAUCGGGGGUUCUAGUGUUAAAUAUAUCUGGUGAUUAACUGUGCUAACUCAUUAAAAAUGUUGUCUUGGGUUAUACCAAGAGAACAGAAUUGAGGGAAUAGCUGUGUUUGUAGGCCGAUGUUUAGAAAGCCUAGGAUAGGCUAGGUAGGGGAAGAAGUAAGCAGAGUGGAUGGAUAGUCUGUGAGACUUAGGAUAAGGCUAUGCCUUGGGCCAGACACCUUUAUCAUCCCUUCUUCUUUGACAAAGCCAGUGAUGGGGUUUAGUUGAUAUCAAAUGUGUCAGGGAAACAACUGGAGGAGAUGGCUAGUUUUCUGGAUGUGGUUCCCUAGUGGGAACCUGUUGCGAGGUGGCAUCUUAUCCAAACAGAGAGGAAGAAUCAAACUGCAGCAAGAAUGAAAUUCUAUUCUGUGAAUGAAGUUUAGACCAAAAGUCUGAGAUGGCUGUGUCAGGUGGAACACGUUUUCCUGCUGUGGUAUCUGGGAGUCCUUCCUGUGGUGCAGGCUCUUGGCUGAGGACAUCACCAAGUAUGAGGUGAUACUAUCAGUCUGUGCGUGUGCGUGUGUUCGUAUGUCCACAUGUGCAUAUGUGUGUGUACAUGUGUCUCUGUGUGUGCACAUGUUCGUGUGUGUGUGUGUGUGUGUGUGUGUGUGUGUGUGUGUGUAUGUGUGUAUUUGAGGCUUGGCAUAGAACCAGAGAGGCCCACAGUAUCCUGCUCAUCUUGGGUCUUCUGUCUUCUCAGGUACACAGGAAACAGGAACUGAGCUCAUCUUGGCCACAAUAUGUCCCUCCCUACCUUUGUGUACUGUCCAAUACUUGUUAAGUACUCAAGAAUAAUGAACAAACUAAGAAAAUUUGGGCAGGAAUCUAAGGAUGUAACUCAGUUGCAGAGUACUUGCGUAGUGUAGGAGAGAGCCUAGAAUUGGUCCCAGUAAAAGAAAGAGAAUUAGAAGACAUUUUGGGCAACCUGGGCAUUCUAAUGGGCCACAGCUGGCAAACCUAGACCUACACAUGGCCCGUCUCCAACCCCCAACCCUAAAGUACUGAUUUUUUGUUUGUUUGGUUGGUUGAUUUGGUUUGUUUUUCGAAAUGGUUUCUCUGUGUAGCCCUGGCUGUCCUGGAACUCACUCUGUAGACCAAGCUGGCCUCGAACUCAGAAAUCCACCUGCCUCUACCUCCCAAGUUCUGGGAUUAAAGGCGUGCGCCACCAUUGCCCGGCAAGUACUGAUCCUAGUGUAGCCAAGUAUCUAUCCUUUUGUAAUUUAUCUCUAUUUCCCCAGAAAUAAAAUAGCUUUACUGAAUGUUCUGAUCAGUAAGUUAGUGUACAGACUUGGUUGCUCUAGGAGACAACUCAAGAGGGAAGUGAUUAUAGUAUAACAAUCCAAGGACUCAGGAGAUGGAGUUAGGGAGGUCCUGAGUUUAAGUGCAACUUGGACCACUAUGUAGGGAAACACAAUGGAGAUGUAAGUUAGACUCACUGUUUCAGAGGUUCCCAUUCAUGGUAGUCGUUUCUGCUGUUUCUGGGCCAUGGUCAGGCAGACCAUGACACCAAGGAUGUGGCCUGGCAGAUUUGCUUAUCUUGGAGCUAAGAAUGGAGGGGGUGGGCAGGGGUAUCUCUUUUUAGGGUAUGUCACCAAUGAACUACCUUCCCCACCUUCUGAAGUUACAUCACCCCUCAAAAGAAUGGCAAUAGCUAGGAGCCAGUUACACAAUACAUGAGUCUGUGUGAAGCACAGCGUGUUCAAACCUUAGCUCAUGCUCGUGUAGAGUAGUCAGGUGGAGGAACACAAAACACUCUAAAACCACCCCUAUUUCCAUGUUGUUUUACAUCACAGGAAAACUAUUAAUUUUUUCUUAUUUUAAAAUUGUAGUCAAAUAAUAUAUAGCAGAAGAUCCCAUAAUCACUUGUGUUUAUUUUGGGAUGGGGGGAUAUUGGGUCUCAGAUCUCAGCCCAAGGUGGACUGGGACUCACUGUGUUGUCAGCUUAGAAACUCGAGCCCUAUAUCCUCCUGUUUCUAUCUUUCAAGUGUGGGGAACACAGGUGGACCCUGCCAUGUCUGACCACCAUGUGUAUGGUUCUGUCAUGUUGAGUGUACUUGCGGUAUUGUUCAUAUGACCUCUAGAACUUUCUCACCUUUAAAACUGAUGCGAUCUGGUUGAGGCAGCCACCAUUCUGUUUUCUAUUUCCGUGUCUGACCACAGUAGGCAUCUCAUCCGAUCAUAUAGUACUGACUUCUUCACGCCUGGCUGGCUUCUUACUGCCUCUGAGAUCUGUACAUGCUAUAGCAGCUAGGUGUCAGGAUUUUCUUCCCUUUCAAAGCUAAUGCUCCCUUUGUAUGUGUGUUCCAGUUACUCAGCGAGCAGCACUUCCUUGGACUGUUCCUGGGUACUGAGAAUAGCACUAUUACCAACAUGGAUUGUCUUAGUCACUGUUCUGUUGCUGUGAAGAGGCACCAUGACCAAGGCUACUUACAGGAGAAAGUGUUUAAUUGGGGGCUUGCUUACAGUUUCAGAGGGUUAGUCUAUGGCCAUCAUGGUGGGCAGCAUGGUGACAUAGAGGCCCGCAUGGUGCUGGGGAAGUGACUAUGAGCUUAAACAUCCUGAUCUGCAGGCAAAGAGAGAGACAACCUGGUAUGGACUACCUGUUAAUAAGUUACUGUACCUUUACAUACAUGGUUUAUGAAUAAAAUAGGUGGUACUUUGGAGUGUGAAUAUUUCCCUCAAGAGUGUGCCAUGUGCAUCAACAUUAACGUGUGAGAUGCUCUUUUAUGCCCCAUGUUUAAUGUCCCCAUAUGUAGAUUUAGGUUAUUCUCUGUAAAUUGGUAUUAUAACUGUGCCUCAGUAAACAUGCUGAGACUUGGCACCUUUGCCUGAUAAUAAAAAUAGUCAUUUCAGUCAAAUCUUGAGUUGGAUUUUCUAGGAGCAGAGCCUGAGCCAGGUUUGCAUGUGAGGGAUUUGCUGAGGGAGUAUUGGGGGUCAGGGAAGGGACUAACACAGCAGAUGAAGAGAGACCAAGCAAAGAAGGCCUAAAGUUGAGCCUUGGCCUCGACUGGAGUGUAAUUACACCAGCAAAUCCCCCUUGGGACCAGAAGACCAGGCUUUUACACUGUCAACCAUUUAUCUUGGAACUCUGUGGCCUCUUGGAAUCUUCAGCUGAGAGCAGUUUGUUAAAGUCGUGGCUUUGAGCAGUUAGCCCACAGGGCAGCUGAGGGGAAGAUCAUGGGCCCUGGCACAGAGCAUAUUGGCAGAUGGCUGCUGCAGGCCAAGCUAGGUAGGUCACUGGUUAUUUGAAACGGGUGCCUUUUGUGAUCUGCUCAUCGGUUCUCCCAGUUGCUGGGCAGCUUGACCAUCAGUGUAGGCAUGUGUGGUAAGAGGUGUGCCACCGGCCUCAGGAGAGCAGUGUGCUCGCUCACCAGGUGUCCUCAGCCCUCCUAGCAGCCCUUCCCACUGCAGACUGGAAAUACUGCCAUUCUUUCAGCCAGCAUGGUGGGCCUGCUGAAAACAGAGCAAGGAGGUAUCCUCAGCUAAGUCUAGAAGAUUCACAACCAUCUUAGGACGAGUAGUUCUGUCAUUUAUAAGCAGGAGAAUAAAUACAAUUUCUCAUUGUCCAUUUGGAUCUUCUAGAAGUGCUGUGGUCUUGAAUACUGACAGGGUCUGGCAGUCUUUUCUCUCUUUCUCAUGCCAGUGUGCUGCACCCAAGGGUUAUGUGUAUCGGCAAAAGGUGAGCUGGUUUUCUGCUGAUCAGUGAUUACUAUAGGAUUAUUCCUAAGUGAUCCUAGAUGGCUUAAAAGAUAGCACUCCUUAAAGGUUUGGUUGGCAGUGGGAUUGGGAUGGUUUGGGUAAUCUCAUUGUGAACAUGCAGAAUACAUGCAGAAUACAUGCAAAAUACAUCCAAAACAUGUAUGUUGGGAUUGAGGAGCUCGCUCAAGGGUGAGACGCUGCGUGCAGGUGUGAGAGCCAUUCCCAGAACCCUCCUAAAAGCCAGAUCCAGGUUUGUGGGUUUGUCAUCCUGGCACAGGGAAAGCAGAAACAGGAUGUUUGGGGCCUGACCAGCCCUGUUAGCCAGGUUGGAGAACUCCUUGAGGUACUGUCCCAAAAACUAGGGUGGGGACGAGCUUGAGAAAGGUCCACCUGUCUCACUUAAACACACACACACACACACACACACACACACACACACACAC